UACGUAGGGUGCAAGCGUUGUCCGGAAUUAUUGGGCGUAAAGAGCUCGUAGGCGGUCUGUCGCGUCGGCUGUGAAAACUCGGGGCUCAACCCCGAGCCUGCAGUCGAUACGGGCAGACUAGAGUGCUGUAGGGGAGACUGGAAUUCCUGGUGUAGCGGUGAAAUGCGCAGAUAUCAGGAGGAACACCGGUGGCGAAGGCGGGUCUCUGGGCCGAUACUGACGCUGAGGAGCGAAAGCGUGGGGAGCAAACAGG
rnacentral:rRNA from 1 species